rnacentral:rRNA from 1 species
AUUGAACGCUGGCGGCAGGCCUAACACAUGCAAGUCGAGCGGAUGAAGGGAGCUUGCUCCUGGAUUCAGCGGCGGACGGGUGAGUAAUGCCUAGGAAUCUGCCUGGUAGUGGGGGAUAACGUCCGGAAACGGGCGCUAAUACCGCAUACGUCCUGAGGGAGAAAGUGGGGGAUCUUCGGACCUCACGCUAUCAGAUGAGCCUAGGUCGGAUUAGCUAGUUGGUGGGGUAAAGGCCUACCAAGGCGACGAUCCGUAACUGGUCUGAGAGGAUGAUCAGUCACACUGGAACUGAGACACGGUCCAGACUCCUACGGGAGGCAGCAGUGGGGAAUAUUGGACAAUGGGCGAAAGCCUGAUCCAGCCGUGCCGCGUGUGUGAAGAAGGUCUUCGGAUUGUAAAGCACUUUAAGUUGGGAGGAAGGGCAGUAAGUUAAUACCUUGCUGUUUUGACGUUACUAACAGAAUAAGCACCGGCUAACUUCGUG